UCGGAGGAUUUUCAAUCUGGACUUCAACGUCUAAACAAUACAAAAGAGAAGUACAAAUUUCAAAAAAUUGGUGAAGGAUCUUUUGGCACAGUCUAUGUGGGUCGGUCUAAAAGUUCCGACAAAGCAAUCGCUGUCAAAGCCAUCAAGAAACGAGGGUGUUUCAUAAAGCAGGAAUUCGAUAUUCUCAAAGAAGGAACUGCUUGGCGCCGCGUAUCCAGUCAUCCUCACAUUGUCACUUUUAUUGGUAUUUUCGAAACUGCUAUCAGUCACUGUUUCGUCUGUGAUUAUGUGAAUGGAGAGAAUUUGACCGACUUCUUGGAAAUAAAUGGAAUAUUAUCGGAAACCCAAGCUAAAACGGUCGGUGCACAACUUGCGUCGGCCAUCAUUUAUAUUCACGAUAAAGAAAUUAUUCACAGAGAUAUAAGCUCAAACAACAUCUUAAUAGAUAAAAAGAAUGAAGCAUAUUUGAUUGACUUUGGUCUGUGCA